GAAAAGAAAUCGUCCUAGAAGGAAAAUAAUGAAUUCUAUGUAUCUAGAGAAAUUAAAAUGGAUAAUACACCCUAAAGAAGUUUUAGAAAUUGAGUCAGCUGGUUAUAAAAUUAAUCAACUCAUAAGCGAAUUAGAUCUGAAAAUAAUGAAAUUUACUAAAUACGGAAAGGAAUUCAUCAAAAGGAGAAACCUCAAUCCUGAUGUUUAUAUUGAAAUAUGCAUACAAAUGGCUUAUUUUAGAUUAUAUAAAACGUUAACAUCAACAUAUCAAGCCGCUUCCUUACGCAAAUUUAGAUAUGAAAGAU